rfam:Oryza sativa Japonica Group DNA, chromosome 4, cultivar: Nipponbare, complete sequence.
AAUAAGUGCAGUCACAAGUUUCCGCGCCUAACUUUGAUCGUCCGUCUUAUUUGAAUUUUUUUAUAAUUAGCAUUUUUGUUGUUAUUAGAUGAUAAAACCAUGAAUAAUACUUUACUCGUGACUUAUAUUUUUAAUUUUUUUAAUUUUUUUUAAAUAAGACGAAUGAUCAAAGUUAGGCGCGAAAAACCAUUGUAUUGCUGAUG